rnacentral:rRNA from 1 species
CAAUAGCGUAUACUAAAGUUGUUGCGGUUAAAAGCUCGUAGUUGGAUCUUGGAGCGUGUGCUUGCGGUCAUGCCUAUGGUGUGCACUGCUUGACGUGUUCUUCUAUUUGGUUGCGCGUGUGUGUUGCCACACUCGACCGAAACGUUUACCUUGAAAAAUUAGAGUGUUCAAAGCAGACCUGUUUGUGUCUGAAUAUUCGUGCAUGGAAUAAUGAAAUAUGAAUUCGGUUCUAUUUUGUUGGUUUUCGGAACUCGAGUUAAUGAUUAAGAGGGACAGACGGGGGUAGUUAUGUACUCUGCCGUUAGACGGUUAGAAAUUGCAUUGGAUCGGCGGAAGACUCGCAACUGCGAAAGCAUUUGCCAAGAAUGUUUUCUUUAAUCAAGAACGAUAGUCGGAGGUUCGAAGAUGAUCAGAUACC